UAAUACGGAGGGAGCAAGCGUUACUCGGAAUUACUGGGCGUAAAGGGCGCGUAGGCGAUCUAUUAAGUCUUGUGUGAAAUCCCAGGGCCUAACCCUGGAAUGGCAUGGGAAACUGAUAGGUUAGAGUGCAGGAGAGGAAGGCAGAAUUCCCGGUGUAGCGGUGAAAUGCGUAGAUAUCGGGAGGAAUACCAGUGGCGAAGGCGGCCUUCUGGACUGCAACUGACGCUGAGGCGCGAAAGCUAGGGGAGCAAACGGGAUUAGAUACCCCGGUAGUCCUAGCCGUAAACGAUGUGCACUUGGUGUGAGCCCGGUUAGGGUUCGUGCCGAAGUUAACGCAAUAAGUGCACCGCCUGGGGAGUACGGUCGCAAGGCUG
rnacentral:rRNA from 1 species